UAACCUUUUUGUAGGACCUGGAAGCGGC
rnacentral:sRNA from 1 species